rnacentral:tRNA from 1 species
UCCAGGGUAGCCUAGUGGACAUGGCAUCUGCCCGGUAAGCGGAACACAGUGGGUUCGAUUCCCAUCCCAGGAC